GACGAACGCUGGCGGCGUGCUUAACACAUGCAAGUCGAACGGAAAGGCCCUGCUUUUGUGGGGUGCUCGAGUGGCGAACGGGUGAGUAACACGUGCGUAACCUGCCCUUGACUUUGGGAUAACUUCAGGAAACUGGGGCUAAUACCGGAUAGGAGCUCCUGCUGCAUGGUGGGGGUUGGAAAGUUGCGGCGGUUGGGGAUGGACUCGCGGCUUAUCAGCUUGUUGGUGGGGUAGUGGCUUACCACGGCUUUGACGGGUAGCCGGCCUGAGAGGGUGACCGGCGACAAUGGGACUGAGAUACGGAGCAGACUCCUACAGGAGACAGCAGUGGGGAAUAUUGCACAACGGGAGGAAGCCUGAUGAGGCAGCGCCGCGUGUGGGAUGACGGCCUUCGGGUUGUGAAACGCUUCAGCCUAUGACGAAGCGUGAGUGACGGUAAUGGGUGAAGAAGCACCGGCUAACUACGUG
rnacentral:rRNA from 1 species